AGGAGGAACAACCCCUGUGGUUGCUGCAGGUCUGGAGCCCUGGAUUCAGCCCCCGCAGUAACUCCGGUGCUCUCCGUCUGCAGGGCCUGGAGGCUCUGGGGCGGG
rnacentral:pre_miRNA from 1 species